UAAAUAUUUAGCAAACAUUUGGCAAACAUCCCCUUUGUUUCAAGAAAGUCUUGAACAGAAGGUAAAGUGGGAGUAAAUCUCUGUAAAAGUCUUCCAGGACUCAAGUGACAGGCUUGGAUUUUUCAGUAGUUUCAGGAACUGGUGAUGAUUUGGACCCUUCACUCAUAUUUACCGAACAAUUGAAAGAACUCUAGCCAUGACCCUCUCCAUAGUGCCUGCCUCAGAAUAUAAAUAUUUUCAAUAUGUAUCACAUAGUGGAACGAAGCAGUAACAGAAACUUCAGUUUUAAGAUUCCAACAAACCCCGAUUUUCAGCCAACAGAGCUAGAGCGCUGUGUAUUGGGAUAAAAGUUCCUUUUUUCAUCUCUAGCUGACACUCUAAAAGACUCAGAAAUGCCCACUCCGUGGUUCUAUUUUUCAGGUCUUGGGCUGGCAACGUUUCUUUGUACAUUUGAAAGUCUGGUGUUGGCUUGGGAUGUGGGUCUCGUCCCGAGCAGCCCUGCUGUUCUUUAGUCGUUUCUAUAUUCUUCCGUGUUUGGGGUGAUGAGGUGUGUUUCAGAUCAGUUUAUUAUUAUAACUUCUUUGAAACGAAAUGAUGUUUCAAGCAGUCAAAAAAUGUCUGUAUAUUCUGAAUACAUAAUGUUGGCUUAACACGUUUUUCAUUACGGUGAUUUUCUUUACCACAAAUUGCAGGCCUGUCCUGCUAUUCUGUGCCUGGUCGGACAGUUUACACAUCAUUUCCUCCCAGAAAGCAUCUUCCCGGUCAUGGCGGUUGUGCCGUUUUCCUCUUGUGUCACCUGCAUUACCCCAGCAAGCUCUGCCAGCCUUCCAUGGCGGCACCUCCUCUUAGUGGGCUGGAAACUUGAAUUCUAAGGACGUGGUCUAGGCCUUAUUUUCUACAACGUGAUGUAAACCAUGGUGAUUAAAACAGCCAGUUGAAUAGUGGCAAAUUUCAAGUGACUACACUGUGAGGGUAACACUGUCACACAGGUUAAAACACAGCAACAUUAUGACACAGAAAAAGGUGAGUCCAUUUCUGCAGAAACCUUUCCCCCACAAAGUGGGUUAAAAUUUGACUGAGGUAAGUUUGUGUACAUGACCCCAGGGGGACUUCCACGUGGGCCAGGCGGCUGGGACCUGCAGGGCAGUUCCGAGCAGCGUAUCUGAAAGGUACUAUGUGGUUUGUCCUCGUCCACUCUCUUUAGCCUUCUUCCUCGCUUUAAAAGAGAAGAUGCAGCUAGACAGAAUCCUAUGCUGAUUAAGCAAACCCAAGCGUCCUGGGUCCAUUGGCCUGAAUGGGACAUGUCAGCAAUGUAAUUGUUUGCCAGGCUUGCGCUGGAGCUGGGAAUAGAAACGAGGAUGCCUGCCGUCAGGGCUGUUCCAGGCUCGGGGGAGCAGUCGGGGCCGGAGAAGAUUUUAUGGAGACAACGCCUGAGCUGAAGGACAGAAGCCGAUGGAAUAGCAGGGAGCCUUGCCAGGUCUGUCACUGUGGCUUCUGUGGUGCCUGCUGAAGAGGGGGUGUCAAUACUUAUUUGUCUGAACGAGCGAAUGGCUGGGCCAGCCGUCCCCCACGGUAGAACCUUUCAGACUGCGGGCCAGGGCCCUGUCUUUGCGGGACUCCCACUGCGGUGUGGUUUGUCCUUCUAAUGUUCCCAGCAGCCAUCCUGAAUCCCCAGGCCCCAGGCCAGAGGGGUGCCACACUGUGCCGCUCUAGAGACAUGGGGAGACACACAGGUGACCCAGAGCUGCCCUGCUGUCUGCAGUUCACACAGGGGCCCUGGACGGUGUUGGAGGAAAGGAGUGUGGAGACCACGAGAACUUUGGAGCAGCUGGACUCAAGUUCCAGCUCCAUGCAACGCGGUUUGACCUACCUCCUGCCUUCUGUUUGUUUGUCUAAUGCCUCGAGCUGCUGUGAAGCCGAACUUCACGGUUUCAUCAUUAAUCUUCUCAAAGGUUUAGAAAAUUCAGUUUUCACCCCUGUUUACAUCAGAGUCUUUUAGUUUGGGUUCAAUGUGACUUGGCAUUUCUUUGGAUGUUUGGAGAUAUUUUGUCAAUAGGCUCGACUUUAUGUUGUUAGCAAAACUGAAGGCUCUAAAAAUAUUUUUAAAAUUUAUGUGAAGAGCCUAAAUCUGAUCUUAAUUUCUUUUUUAAAAGAAAAAUCUUUUCUUCAGUCUGAAAACUCAACUUUUCAACAGCUAUUUAGGACUAGAAGCAAAAUUUGAUUGAUCCACUCUAAGUCCUUCAUUUUAAAUGAUAAACAAGCCACGUUCGAAAGCCCAGUGUUUUCACAUAUCUCCCUGUGAUCCGAACUUCAGGCGUCACAUCCAUCCCUCAGUCCAGAGUGGAGCCCAGGAGAGCUGAGAGCCCAGUGAAUCGCAUCCUCUUCCCUCAAGAGGAAAACACGGGUGGAAAACUUCCUGGGCAAGUGCUGAAAUGAAUGGGGCUCCUUGUCCACGACAACGUCUGGGCUGGAACCACAGCGGCCGUUCAGGAAUGCGGCUUUCUUGUCUGAGCUCAGGUGGGACAGAAACUGCAUAUUGAGACUUGUUUUUCUGCCAAAUAUUUAUUUGAUGUUUUUCCUCGUCGGAGUAAAGUGACCAACGUGAAUCUGAAUGCACAGAUGUCGUAAAGGAGUGCUUUUGAUCUUAGGUCCUGAACAGAGGCCGUUACUGGGAAUUAAUGAAAUAAAACCACGAAGGUCGUGGGCUCGGCACUGACAGGCCGGCGUGUCUGUCGCUGAGGAGGGCGGGCAGAUCUGAAGGGCUGGCGAGUGGUCCCACCUGCGUUCCUUCAGGCGCUCAGGGCCUGGGGACCUGCUGUGGACACUGGCCCUGACCUGGUGCUCGCCUCUUCCCGCUGGAGGACCAGCCCCACCACAGACGGCCUGGCUCUGAGGACAGUGGUGGCCCACGGUCCUCGCUCCGGAAACAUGUUCUGAUUUAGUGACUCUGCCAAGAGGGCUCAUUUGUUUAGCCUGAGUUUCCACAUUGCGAGUUUAUUGUCACCAUGUAAAAACGCCGACACAUGGAAGACGCUGACGCGGUGCCUACCUGUGAGGACGGCGCCUUGUCCCUCGUGUGGCCAAGUGAGCCAGGCCCUGGGGACAGGGAUGGGGACGGGCCCACUGCUGCGGGUGGCGCAGCCGGGCCGAUGCAGGCGUCCGACUCUGGAUGCUGAGUCAUGAGCGGCAUUAGAGCCCACCCUGAACUUGAGCUUGGCUCAUUUUACCUGGAAGGUCACAGGCCAGAUAAGCAGUUUGCGGGGCCUGAGAACGGGCGACUCGGGCUGCCCUUGAACCCUCACCCGCCUGCUCCCCUCCUGCUCAAGCUCUUGGGAGGCAGGUGUGGCUAAGGCCUGGGUGGUGUUGCUUACGACCAGCGACCAGCUGGAUUUGAGAUUUGAGACUAUGUAUUCAACGUUCCGAAUGACAGGUGCCCAGGAGACUAUUCUAAGUCCCAAAACAGAUGGAUGUUUCUAUCCUCAGGUGCAUUUGUGACUCGCUGACACUUGAGAGCUAGCUGACAGCCGCACAAGAUAAGGGCAGCAGCCCACGAAUAGGCCAGCCUCCUCUCCCUGGCCUUUCGGUGGUCUCUCAGAUGACACUCACUUCUGCAUUUGGGGACAAUAGAUACAAAAUGGAGUGGCUUAUUGUUAGGAGGCAAAUCCCCACGGGUCUUGCAUUUCUGCACAGCUUCUCAAGGAUGUUUGCACAACACACAGUAUAGGAAGAUAAAGACCAUGUCCUGCCUUGGGGCCAAGGGCAGCCCUAAAUGUUUGGGGAUUCCUAAAUCGGGGUGCCCAGCUGUGACAUAAGCCCACUGUCCAUUCAUCCUCCUUCUGGGCCUCUCCAUCACCCUGAGACCUGGGGGGUGAGGGGAACGGACGUGUACAAGGGGUCACGCUGUCUGUGUGUACUCUGCCCACAGAGCUUGUGUCUUCGUCGGACAUCCAGGGGCUGGAGGGCAGACCAGCUCAUCGUCCUGUGAGGGGGCAAAGCCUCAGAAACGGCACAGCUCUUGAUCACAUCUUUCCCGAACCACACACACACACAGGCUGAAAACCGUAAGCAGGUCUGUACUCAGCUCGACGUAGUAUGGUAGACAGGAUAACAGGCCCAAAAGAUGUCACGUCCUAGUCCCCAGAACCUGUGAAUGUGUCAAGUUACAUGGAGAAAGGGAACUGAGAUGGCUGAGUUGACCUUCCAUAGCGGAAGUGUCCCCGUGUCCCCGUGUCAUCACAACGGUCCUUAGGAGUGCAGGAGGAGGCAAAAGAGGGGUGAGUGACAACAGCGGAACUGGCCUGCGGUGCCUGGCUCUGAGGAGGGAGGUGGGCGGGUCCCUCCAGGAGCUGGGAAAGGGGG